UGGGGAAUAUUGCACAAUGGGCGAAAGCCUGAUGCAGCGACGCCGCGUGAGGGAUGACUGCCUUCGGGUUGUAAACCUCUUUCAGCAGGGACGAAGCGCAAGUGACGGUUCCUGCAGAAGAAGCACCGGCUAACUACGUGCCAGCAGCCGCGGUAAUACGUAGGGUGCAAGCGUUGUCCGGAAUUACUGGGCGUAAAGAGUUCGUAGGCGGUUUGUCGCGUCGUUUGUGAAAACCAGCAGCUCAACUGCUGGCUUGCAGGCGAUACGGGCAGACUUGAGUACUGCAGGGGAGACUGGAAUUCCUGGUGUAGCGGUGAAAUGCGGAGAUAUCAGGAGGAACACCGGGGGCGAAGGCGGGUCUCUGGGCAGUAACUGACGCUGAGGAACGAAAGCGUGGGUAGCGAACAGG
rnacentral:rRNA from 1 species